rnacentral:rRNA from 1 species
UACGUAGGUGGCAAGCGUUAUCCGGAUUUAUUGGGUUUAAAGGGUGCGUAGGCGGAAUUAUAAGUCAGCGGUGAAAUCCUGUAGCUUAACUAUAGAAUUGCCAUUGAUACUGUUAUUCUUGAGUCUAAUUGAGGUGGGCGGAAUGUGUAGUGUAGCGGUGAAAUGCUUAGAUAUUACACAGAACACCAAUUGCGUAGGCAGCUCACUAAAUUAUAACUGACGCUGAGGCACGAAAGCAUGGGGAGCAAACAGG